rnacentral:rRNA from 1 species
UACGUAGGGUGCGAGCGUUAAUCGGAAUUACUGGGCGUAAAGCGUGCGCAGGCGGUUUUGUAAGUCAGAUGUGAAAUCCCCGGGCUUAACCUGGGAACUGCGUUUGAAACUACAAGGCUAGAGUGUGGCAGAGGGGGGUGGAAUUCCACGUGUAGCAGUGAAAUGCGUAGAGAUGUGGAGGAACACCGAUGGCGAAGGCAAUCCCCUGGGCCUGCACUGACGCUCAUGCACGAAAGCGUGGGGAGCAAACAGG